CCUACGGGGGGCAGCAGUGAGGAAUAUUGGUCAAUGGACGAGAGUCUGAACCAGCCAAGUAGCGUGAAGGAUGACUGCCCUAUGGGUUGUAAACUUCUUUUAUAUGGGAAUAAAACGUUCCACGUGUGGGAUUUUGUAUGUACCAUAUGAAUAAGGAUCGGCUAACUCCGUGCCAGCAGCCGCGGUAAUACGGAGGAUCCGAGCGUUAUCCGGAUUUAUUGGGUUUAAAGGGAGCGUAGGUGGAUUGUUAAGUCAGUUGUGAAAGUUUGCGGCUCAACCGUAAAAUUGCAGUUGAAACUGGCAGUCUUGAGUACAGUAGAGGUGGGCGGAAUUCGUGGUGUAGCGGUGAAAUGCUUAGAUAUCACGAAGAACUCCGAUUGCGAAGGCAGUUCACUGGACUGCAACUGACACUGAUGCUCGAAAGUGUGGGUAUCAAACAGGAUUAGAUACCCCUGUAGUC
rnacentral:rRNA from 1 species